CAGGAGGUAGAAGCAAAGGCUUAAGGUAACCUUCAACUUCAUAGGGAGUUCAAGGCUAGCCUGUCGCAAAACAAAACAGUAUUGUAGCACUGUCACUUACAGAGACCUUGCCUCUUGGUGGACUUUGUGUUAGCAUUCUGUGUGAGGGAGCUCCCCCCUUCCAUGUCUACUCUUUGCUCACCUUUAGUCAAGAACUGUUACAGCUGGAAUGACACUGUGCCCCAUAGUCUCAGAUGUUUGGAUUCUUGAUCCCAGUUGGUGGCUGUUUGGGGAGGUUUAAAAAGAGGUGCCUCGUUGAGGAGAAAGCAUGUCACUGGGGGUGGGCUUUGAGAUGUCAAAGCCUCGUGCUGUUUCCAGUCCUCUGCUCCAGCCUUGCAGUUCAAGAUGUGAGACCUCAGCUUUUGCUCCAGCCACCAUGCCUGCUGCUGCCACCACUGCUGCUGCCACUGCCGCUGCCGCCAUACUUCCCCGCCACAGUUGACUUAGUCCUCUGGAACCGUAAGCCAAAUAAACCUUUUCUUCUAUAAGUUGCUUUAGUCGUUGUGUUUUAUCACAGCAACAGAAAAGUAACAGUAUAGUUGUUAUUAAGAUUUCAAUGUAAUGAUUAGAACAGUUUUCCAGUAAAGUAAAUACUGUGCCCUUUUCUCUGGCACUUUUCAUAUUGCUUAAACAUUUCGUAUUAAUUGUUUAAGACAGAUUGUUUGUCCAUUAAAGCAGCUCUUUCUUAU
rnacentral:lncRNA from 1 species